rnacentral:rRNA from 1 species
AACGAACGCUGGCGGCAGGCUUAACACAUGCAAGUCGAGCGCCCCGCAAGGGGAGCGGCAGACGGGUGAGUAACGCGUGGGAAUCUACCCAUCUCUACGGAAUAACGCAUGGAAACGUGUGCUAAUACCGUAUACGUCCUUCGGGAGAAAGAUUUAUCGGAGAUGGAUGAGCCCGCGUUGGAUUAGCCAGUUGGUGGGGUAAAGGCCUACCAAGGCGACGAUCCAUAGCUGGUCUGAGAGGAUGAUCAGCCACACUGGGACUGAGACACGGCCCAGACUCCUACGGGAGGCAGCAGUGGGGAAUAUUGGACAAUGGGCGCAAGCCUGAUCCAGCCAUGCCGCGUGAGUGAUGAAGGCCCUAGGGUUGUAAAGCUCUUUCACCGGUGAAGAUAAUGACGGUAGCCGGAGAAGAAGCCCCGGCUAACUUCGUGCCAGCCGCCGCGGUAAUAC